rnacentral:lncRNA from 1 species
UGGCUUGGUUCUGGGUGGCCUUCACUUCAAUUUUUUCACUUUGGCCUUUUCAGAUUUGCCUUAAGAUCAAUCUUUAGGAGCUUGACCCUUAGGAGCUCGGCUUAUUAGAGCUUGGCCUUCUUAGGUUGGCCUCCUUAGUUUGGCUUUCUCAUAUUGGUUUUUUCAAGUUGGCCUCACCAGAUUGGCUUUCUCAGGUCAGUCUCCUCAGGUUGGCUUUCUUAGAUCAAUCUUCUCAAGUCAACCUUUCACCUCCAACUUCUUAGCUUAGCCUUCUC